AAAAAAAAAAAAAAAGGAAAAUUAUUAUUUUUGACUACAUUUUUAAAUGACGUACACAACAUACAGAUCCCAGUCAGCCUCAAGCUCUCUUUUUCUUGCCUGCGUCCUCCCGAACAAUCCACGCAGUGUGUCGUGGGAAGAACGGGCGUGUUGUUCAGGUCAAACAGAGGAAAAAAGAGAGACAGAGAAAGCGAGAGAGAGAGAAAGAUGCUCCAGCUGUGAGUAAAAACAACAAAACUGCAUUUGAUUGGGAGGGGGUCGGAUGGACACAGGGUCAUUGUUUGUAAAGAGGUCGCGGAUAAAGAGACGAGAGAAACAGAUCACUCAGCUCAUGCAGUGAUAAAUGAUGGCGUUACACCUCAUUCAUUCACAAUCCCUCAACCAAUAACACAACCAAUGUGAUGCCGCAAUAUUUUUAAGACUGAAUCAUGAAAAACUGCAUGAAAAGAUACAAAUGUCAUGUAUUAUUAUUAUACUGUACAAAAUCAUUAUAUUACCAUAUAUACUUCAUAAAAAGUAACAAAAAUAAGUCAAAUAAAAUAAUAGCUGUAGUAUCGGAUGGUAUCAUGCUAGUUCAAUUUCAAAAUUCAAAUACCAUGUUAUUCUUAAAUGUAAAUGAUAAAUGAACUAAAUGGUGGUAAAACUAUUUUCAUUCAGAAUUUCUAGUAAAUUUCACAAAUAAUUGCAAAGAAAUAUGAAGUAACACUGAAUCGAACAUUAAAUUUUGAAGUAUAAAGGCUGGAAUAUUUUAUAUAUAGCUUAUUAUAGUGUAAAAUGUAAUCUUUGUUUUAUUUACAACUUAAAAAAAUUUUUCAAAGUGUACCAUGGUAUUUAUAAAAGUACCUAAAAUCACUCUAAAAAUUCACAGCUAUAAUUUGAACCUGUAAACGUCGCAAAAAAACAAAACAAAACAACAACAACUGCCAGUUAUAUGACAACAGUCAUGCUGUUAUGUUCAUGGCAACACUGGGUAAGUAAUAAUUAAUUAUUACAACUUUAACAGUGUAAUUAGAUUACUGUACUAAUUACUUUUUCUAAAAGGUAUUACUAAUUAUAGUCUAGUUUCUAAAUCUCAUAUCAGCCUCCACAAGGACAGACAUGAACUGCUCUUUUAAUUCUUUCAAAUACAUAGGCAAAUAUAAAAUAGCAUACAUGAUUGAUCAAAGUAUUUACAUUUAAACAUACAUUAGAUGUUGGAUAUGGAUGUAAAAUCCAUUAUUUGUUUAUAUUUAAUUGUUCUAACAUCUAUAGCCUAUUUACUGUAAUGCAGUUAGUACUUCAGAAGUAGGCUAACC
ensembl:lncRNA